UGGUGGAGCGAUUUGUCUGCUUAAUUGCGAUAACGAACGAGACCUUUUCCUGUUAAAUAGAAGCACGGAACGCAAGUUCCGCUGCGUCUUCUUAAAGGGACGAUGGGUGAUUUAUAACAAGCAAUCCAUGGAAGCAGGAGGCAAUAACA
rnacentral:rRNA from 1 species